rnacentral:rRNA from 1 species
AAAGGAAUUGACGGGGGCCCGCACAAGCGGUGGAGCAUGUGGAUUAAUUCGACGCAACGCGAAGAACCUUACCAAGGCUUGACAUGGAUAUGACGCAUACAGAGAUGUAUGUUCCCUUCGGGGCAUAUCACACAGGUGGUGCAUGGUUGUCGUCAGCUCGUGUCGUGAGAUGUUGGGUUAAGUCCCGCAACGAGCGCAACCCUUAUUUUUAGUAGCGACCGGGUUAUGCCGAGCACACUAGAGAGACUGCCGUGGGUUAACACGGAGGAAGGUGGGGACGACGUCAAAUCAUCAUGCCCCUUAUGUCUUGGGCUUCACACGUGCUACAAUGGGUGAGACAAAGUGAUGCGAAGGUGUGAGCUGGAGCAAAUCACGAAAAGCAUCCUCAGUUCGGAUUGCAGUCUGCAACUCGACUGCAUGAAGUUGGAAUCGCUAGUAAUCGCGAAUCAUCAUGUCGCGGUGAAUACGUUCCCGGGCCUUGUACACACCGCCCGU